AGUUCACGAGCUCAAGGAAUCAAUCUUGUAUAGCGGGAAGGCGAAUGUAAUUGAAUAGCCGUUUUGAAAUUGUUCAACAGUAUCCGAGAUCUCAUUUGGAAGCUACAGGCUCGGGGAUCGUCAGCAACUAGUCACACUAUCACUAUCCACUGUUUGGUACUGCUAUGUUUUGGAAUAUCUUAUGGCAUGUAUAGAAUAGACUAGUAGUGAGAGGAUAUCAUGGUUAAUGUAUAGGACUACCCUUUGCUGUUUUUUUCAAAUACGUUUUGUGAUGUAUGUGUGUACAGCCAUGCGAAAAUGGCUCGUAAAAGUGGGGUAUGGCAUUAGACUAUUUGUGUUUAUGUAUAUAUGUAUAGUUUCAUGAUGUGAGUAUGGACUGGAAUGGAAGUGUUGGGCAAA